GCAUAGCUCAAUGGUAGAGCACCUGUCUAGUGUGUGUGAGGCCCUGGGUUCAAUCUCCAGCAAUGCA
rnacentral:tRNA from 1 species